GAUGAAGAACGUAGCGAAAUGCGAUAAGUAAUGUGAAUUGCAGAAUUCCGUGAAUCAUCGAAUCUUUGAACGCACAUUGCGCCCAUCAGUAUUCUGUUGGGCAUGCCUGUCCGAGCGUCAUUUCAACCCUCAGGGCCCGUUCGCGGGAACUGGUGUUGGGGAUCGGCCUCCCCCCGGAGGCCGGCCCCGAAAUGCAGUGGCGGCUCUACCGCGAUCUCCUCUGUGUAGUAGCGAUACCUCGCAGCUGGAUAGUGGUGGUGCCACGCCGUAAAAUCCCAACUUUACCAAGGUUGACCUCGGAUCAGGUAGGAAUACCCGCUGAACUUAAGCAUAUCAAUAAGCGGAGGA
rnacentral:misc_RNA from 1 species